AUCAGGAGGACACAGGUGUUGGUGAGGCUGGGACAGUUCAGACCCUCCAGGAGCAACCCUACAAGAACAGCGCCACCUUGCCAGAACUCGCCAGCCUGACCCCCUGCGCCCCGCUCCAGUCCGCCCUAGCCUGCUGUUCCGGGGCCACUUGAGCCGGCUGUGGCGGCCACACGACGGAUGGCCCGCUGGUCUGUCCUGCUAUGGCACGAGUUCCUUCCUGUAUGCAGCACAGAGCCACUUGCUAUACAGGGCUCCUUCCUCUGCUGUCUAUUCUGCAGCGCACUUGGGGAGGGCGUUCCUGGUGGAGGAGACUCUUGAUCCACAAACCCAGCCACCCCCACACCAAGGAAGCGACCCCUAAAAUGCUGAUGCUGCAGGGAAACGGCAGAAUUCACCUGUGUGAGUCCACACUGGUCACGUCUUCCUCACUUGGCUGCACGUUAUUCUGCUGAGGCUGUAACUUUCCCAUGCUCAGUGAGGGGAGUAGGGAGAGCCAGCCAUGCGCUGUCACAGCACAGUGAUCAGAACCAGGGCCGGACCACAUGGGGUGCUGGGCUUGGGGGAUACCAGGCUCGGGGGAUACCAGGCUCAGGGUGCUGUUUUUGUUGUUAGUGACAAAAGGGAAAAUAGAAGGUUGGAAGUAAAAUGUUCCAGGUAGUCUGUGUGUGGAUUCAUUUUUAACUAACCUCCUAGAAUGUUCUGGACUUUUGUAGAAUUUCAUGGAACCUUCCAAACUUUCUGAGAACUACAUUUUCCUCGAACCUCCUAGAGCACUGUCAGCCUGGCCCUCGCGGGUAUUUAAGGGGCGGGGCGUCACCAGUCAACAGAUUUGAAGAGGCCAUCACUAGUGCCAAAGAAAUGGUGGAAUCCUGAGGAUUUGAGCAUGUAUUCAAGGAAACUCUUAUUCAUCAGAAGAAGAGACAGUUUGGUUACGAGGGCCGAGAUGAGGUGAUGGGAAGCUUGGAAGAAAAGUUCCAGAGGGAGGUUUUUUUGCUCACUCACUGACACUGCUGAGUGUCCAUCGAAGAAAGGUUCGGACAAAUGAAGCACCAGGAAAAGACUGGGAUGCAGGGAGAAGGGUUGUAUGACCUUAGUAAGCUGCCGGUGGACAGGAAAAGACUCUUGAACAAUUCACCAGACCUUCGCCGGACACUGACACAUGGGGAAUGUUCGGACACCAAUGCUAAAGACCUCUUGUCGAAUUGGACAACAGCCAUCCCAUUUUGCCACACGGGGAGCACUUUCCACUCCAAGUUCUCCAGUUCAUACAUGAUGCAGAGCUGGAGGACACUUUUCCUAAUGUGUGGAUAGCUUUGAGGAUUCUGCUCAUGCUGCCGGUCACAGUCGUAAGUGGUGAGUGCAGCUUUUCAAAGCUCAGGUUCAUUAAAAGAUAACUUCGAUCGACGACGGCUAAUGAGAGACUGACAUCGCUUGCUAUUUUAGUGCUUGAAAGUGCCAUUGGCCUGUCUUUGGAUCUGACACUGCUUCAGUUUGUGAGGGAAAUGGCGAGAAAAGUGAUCUUUGGAACUAAAGGACUAGUGUUAACAUUCUAAGACUGUCAUCUACUGGAAUGCUACUUAAUACUGGUUUUGCCAGAUACUGGGAAUGGGCGAUAGGGGAUGGAUCGCUUGACAAUUCCCUGUUCUGUUCAUUCCCUCUGGGGCACCUGGCAUUGGCCACUGUCGGAAGGCAGGAUACUGGGCUAGAUGGACCAUUGUUCUGACCCAGUCUGGCUGCUCUUACGUUAUUAUGUCCCCCCAAUGUAGGUGCACAGUUCAAUUUCUUGAUGUUAGUACAUUUCAGUUACUCUUAAAAUUAAAAAGUUUCUAUAAACUUAGAGGAAACAAAUUAUUUGUAUUGGCUUAUAUAUGGCAUGAAUAAAUAGAUUUACAGAU